GGGAUCCUCUGCUGCGGCCUUUUACGAUGCUUAUUGCAGGCCUAAGAACUAUUAGUAAGCAUACAGCCGAGCGGAGAUAGCGAAGCUCGAGGACCUCCCAGUGAGAUUGGAGGAUGAGUGGUUUUCUCGAAGACGAGGAGUUGUUUACUGAGCUACGGUGUGUGAUGCGCCACUGAGGAAUACCGCCUCAAACCGGAGGGGAAGGGCCCGCCCGAGUUUUGGGGGCAUCACCCGGUCGGCGCGGUCGCGGCGCGCCGAGGGCCCGACGCCUGGCGGAGAAUCAGGGUUCGACUCCGGAGAGCGGGCCUGAGAGACGGCCCGCACAUCCAAAGACGGCAGCAGGCGCGGAACUUGCCCAAUGCGCGCGCGAGGCAGCGACAAAGACCGCGGCAACGGAGAUCCCCGCGAUCGCGCCGGUCGAGAGGUUGACGCUGCUGCUCGCCGCAACACACACAGUGGAGUCGGGGUUAGGAGUGAAGCCGUCGUUGCACGUGCAAACACCACUCUUCUCGGAUGCGUUGUCGGGGCACUUCGCCACACACGACUUCCUUCCUAGGCCGAACUUGUUCUUAUCUCCGUCCGCACAAGCCUUGCAGACUAGCUGGGUGUUACUUAUCUCGCACGUGCUGCAGUCCCUCAGGCCGCCAUCCGCACAGAGCUUGCAUUCUUUCGCUGCUUCAUCUACAUAAUGAGUAUCGCCGCUUGUACAACCAGCCUUGUUAACGCAGCUGUUGUCUCUCAGAUAGGGAGUCUCACCGGCCAAAUCGCACUUGGUACAGUGGGUGGCCUGGCCUGUGCAUGCGACGCAGGGAGAAGUGCACGCCUCACAGGUCUUAGGGUCGUCCUGUUCUUUCACGAAGAACCCCUCAGCCUUUGUGCACUCCUCCUCUGUCACGCAGGAUGUCACGCCGUUGUCUGUCUUGACUAUCUUGCUACUACCACACUUUGUGCACGUCGCUGCUUCAACGCCAGUGGAUCCUGAGAUUGUUUUUGGCACUGUGCAAGUCUCGCACCCGUCGACCCCCUUGUAGAUCUUUGUAUUACCACCACUACUAAAGGUCACUCCCGUUGCGUCUCCGUACGACACAACCGAGUCGUGGAUGGCGUCGGUGUCCGAGGGCGGAACGAAGUACUCCUUUGUAGCAACCGCCUGUGUGCAUAUUCCAGCAUUUGCUUGUGCGCACAUCGCGUUGCCAGGAGCAGUAUCCUUCGAAUAGCACCCGCCCUUGAACAUAAAUGUCUGUCCAACGCACUUCCCACAGACUUGAUUAGCUGUCUUAUCAUCAGCAGUUGUGCAUUUUGUAUUACUACUGGCAGCUAAUGCACACUGUCCAUCGAUGGGCACAAAGGUUGCUUCACAGCUAGUACAUAUCUGAGUGUCGCCAACUGAUUCGCAUUUAGUACUUUCACAUUUAUUUGCAGCAGCUCCCCCAGUACAGUCUGCCGCGAGC
rnacentral:rRNA from 1 species